GAGUAUUAAUAGAUAUGUUCUUGAAACUUAAAGAAUUUGGCGGUAUUUUAAUCUAUUCAGAGGAACCUGUUCUAUAAUCGAUAAUCCACGAGGACUUUACUUGAGCUUGUCUACAAUUUGUAUACCGCCGUUAUUGAUUAUUUUGUAAGAAGAAUAAUUUUCUUAAUUUUUAAAAAUAUAUCAGGUCAAGGUGCAGUUUAUGUUUAAGGAAGAAAUGGGUUACAAUAAAAGUAUUUAAAUGGAUAUAUAAUUGAAAUAUUAUGUUUAAAGUGGAUUUGAUAGUAAAAUUAUGUAUUUAGUUAAUUUGAUUUUAGCUCUAAAAUAUGU
rnacentral:rRNA from 1 species